GGGCCCGCACAAGCGGUGGAGUAUGUGGUUUAAUUCGACGCAACGCGCAGAACCUUACCCAGCCUUGACAUCCUUCGAAUCUGUAUGAAAAUACGGAGUGUCCCUUCACGGGGAAGCGAAGUGACAGGUGCUGCAUGGCUGUCGUCAGCUCGUGUCGUGAGAUGUUCGGUUAAGUUCCCGGCAACGAGCGCAACCCCUGUCGUUAGUUGCCAUCAUUCAGUUGGGCACUCUAGCGAGACUCCCGGUGUCAAGCCGGCGAAGAUGGGGAUGACGUCAAGUCCUCAUGGCCCUUAUGGUUGGGGGCUGACACACGUACUACAAUGGUGACUACAGAGGGCUGCAAUACCGCGAGGUGGAGCC
rnacentral:rRNA from 1 species